GAGUUUGAUCCUGGCUCAGAACGAACGCUGGCGGCAGGCUUAACACAUGCAAGUCGAGCGCACAGUUUACUGUGAGCGGCAGACGGGUGAGUAACGCGUGGGAAUCUACCUUGAGCUACGGGAUAACAGAGAGAAAUUUCUGCUAAUACCGUAUGUGGCCUUUGGGCGAAAGAUUUAUCGGCUUAAGAUGAGCCCGCGUUGGAUUAGCUGGUUGGUGGGGUAAAGGCCUACCAAGGCGACGAUCCAUAGCUGGUCUGAGAGGAUGAUCAGCCACACUGGGACUGAGACACGGCCCAGACUCCUACGGGAGGCAGCAGUGGGGAAUAUUGGACAAUGGGCGCAAGCCUGAUCCAGCCAUGCCGCGUGAGUGAAGAAGGCCUUANGGUUGUAAAGCUCUUUCACCGGUGAAGAUAAUGACGGUAGCCGGAGAAGAAGCCCCGGCUAACUUCGUGCCAGCANCCGCGGU
rnacentral:rRNA from 2 species